rnacentral:rRNA from 1 species
AGAGUUUGAUCAUGGCUCAGGAUGAACGCUAGCGGCAGGCUUAAUACAUGCAAGUCGUGGGGCAGCGCAGUGUAGCAAUGCAUGGGCGGCGACCGGCAAACGGGUGCGUAACACGUACGCAACCUUCCCGUUACUGGUGAAUAGCCCAGGGAAACUUGGAUUAAUACACCAUAUUAUAUUGACUAGGCAUCUGGUUGAUAUCAAAGCUUCGGCGGUAACGGAUGGGCGUGCGGUUGAUUAGGUAGUUGGCGGGGUAACGGCCCACCAAGCCUACGAUCAAUAGCUGAUGUGAGAGCAUGAUCAGCCACACGGGCACUGAGACACGGGCCCGACUCCUACGGGAGGCAGCAGUAAGGAAUAUUGGGCAAUGGACGAAAGUCUGACCCAGCCAUGCCGCGUGGAGGAUGAAGGUCCUCUGGAUUGUAAACUUCUUUUUUCUGGGGCGAAAACCGGUUUUUCUAAACCAUUUGACAGUACCAGAAGAAUAAGCACCGGCUAACUCCGUGCCAGCAGCCGCGGUAAUACGGAGGGUGCAAGCGUUAUCCGGAUUCACUGGGUUUAAAGGGUGCGUAGGUGGGCAGGUAAGUCCGCGGUGAAAUCCCCGAGCUUAACUUGGGAACUGCCGUUGAUACUAUCUGUCUUGAAUAUCGUGGAGGUAAGCGGAAUAUGUCAUGUAGCGGUGAAAUGCUUAGAGAUGACAUAGAACACCAAUUGCGAAGGCAGCUUGCUACACGAUAAUUGACACUGAGGCACGAAAGCGUGGGGAGCA